rnacentral:rRNA from 1 species
GAUGAACGCUAGCGGCAUGCCUAAUACAUGCAAGUCGAACGAGAUACAACUUUGUAUCUAGUGGCGAACGGGUGAGUAACACGUAUUUGAUCUACCCCCAAGUGGGGAAUAACAAUUGGAAACGAUUGAUAAUACCGCAUAUGACAUAAAUUCGUUUUUAUGUUGAAAAGGAGCGUCAGUCUUCGCUUGUGGAUGAAGAAUGCGGCGUAUUAGUUAGUUGGGUAGGGUAAUGCCUACCAAGACAAUGAUACGUAGCCGAACUGAGAGGUUGAUCGGCCACAUCGGGACUGAGACACGGGCCCGGACUUCUACGGAAGGCAGCAGUAAGGUAAUUUUUCACAAUGGGCGAAAGCCUGAUGAAGCAAU